AUGGGUCUGCUUCAAGCGUCACCGUAAAAAUAUGGCGGGAAACCCUGGCGGCCUAGCCGCACUCCACUUCAUCUCUCUCUCUCACUAAACCAGCGUACUCCACUCCAUCUCCCUCCCUCUCCUCUCUCUCGCACUCCACCAAACCAUAGCCAUCGCCGCCGCCAGUCAGUUGCAGUGCCGGGUUCUACCUUCAUUCCGACAUCGAUCGUCCGCGAUCCUUAUGGUGCUGCCCAUUCUCAAGCAAUGAAACGACUAGGUCAAGAAGAUUCAGAGCCAGGGGAGUGGAUUCUGGCAUGGAGAAGACGCUUGAACUCUUCUCGAUCGCCUGGUCUCAAAGGUUGUCUCUCUCAUCAACUGGGGGGAGGUCAUGGGAGUUAUAGCUCCAGUUAGACAGCAGGCAGGAAUGACAUGCUUUGCACUUGUGGCGAGUGAUGUGGUGACAAGCCUCCUAGUGCUAUAUGAGACGGUAAAAAGUUGCUCCCCUAGCCACGCAGGAGCUGCUAGAUUUACGUACUGGGUAGAAGGGAGAGGAGGCUCGUUAAUCAGUCUUUUGAUUAUAUUUGUACGCACGGAUUAGCCUAUGAGAAGGACUACCCAUUUACGGGUAUUA